rnacentral:lncRNA from 1 species
CAACACCUUGGGUGGCAAAAGCUUGUGAGGGAGCACUCAGUGGGACAGUUUAAUUUUGCCUCUGACCCUGGCACUCCUGACACUCACUGGGUGAUGUGACUGCCACAGGAAGACUGCAGCUCAUGUGAUUUUAACAUUUCUCCAGUCCCAAGCAGAACCAGUUUGAUGUGAGCAGACAAUUUCUGAUGGAACUGAAUGCUCUGAAAUGACAGAAGGGCUCAAAAGGCUCGUUUCUUGGUAACAGCUUUUGGUCAGCCAGAAAAACAAAACCAAACUGGUGGAGUCUGGAUGUAGACUUUUGGAUGCAGAUGCUUUAUAGCCCCUUUGGCUUCAGCCAGACCUACCAGAGAGGCAUUAUUUCAAGGCUGGUAGUGACUUGAAGGUAGAGCAUCCUGUUUCUAGUGAGAUUAGAAUAGAGAAAGCUCAGAAAGGCUUUAAG